UAAAUACUUCCUCCGUCUGAAAAUACUUGUCGAGGAAAUGGAUAGAAAUGGGUGUAUUUAGAACUAAAAUACAUCUAAAUACAUUCAUUCCUCGAACAAGUAUUUCCGGACGGAAGGAGUAUAAG
rfam:Triticum urartu cultivar G1812 contig60047, whole genome shotgun sequence.